rnacentral:siRNA from 1 species
AUGCUGACGUGGCGGAAGGAUGG